rnacentral:rRNA from 1 species
CCUACGGGAGGCAGCAGUGGGGAAUUUUGGACAAUGGGCGAAAGCCUGAUCCAGCCAUUCCGCGUGCAGGAUGAAGGCCCUCGGGUUGUAAACUGCUUUUGUACAGAACGAAAAGGUUUCUAUUAAUACUAGGAGCUCAUGACGGUACUGUAAGAAUAAGCACCGGCUAACUACGUGCCAGCAGCCGCGGUAAUACGUAGGGUGCAAGCGUUAAUCGGAAUUACUGGGCGUAAAGCGUGCGCAGGCGGUUAUAUAAGUCAGAUGUGAAAUCCCCGGGCUCAACCUGGGAACUGCAUUUGAGACUGUAUAGCUAGAGUACGGUAGAGGGGGAUGGAAUUCCGCGUGUAGCAGUGAAAUGCGUAGAUAUGCGGAGGAACACCGAUGGCGAAGGCAAUCCCCUGGACCUGUACUGACGCUCAUGCACGAAAGCGUGGGGAGCAAACAGGAUUAGAUACCUGGUAGUCCACGCCCUAAACGAUGUCAACUGGUUGUUGGGUCUUAACUGACUCAGUAACGAAGCUAACGCGUGAAGUUGACCGCCUGGGGAGUACGGCCGCAAGGUUGAAACUCAAAGGAAUUGACGG